rnacentral:rRNA from 1 species
UACAGAGGUCCCGAGCGUUGUUCGGAUUCACUGGGCGUAAAGGGUGCGUAGGCGGUCGGGUAAGUCUGAUGUGAAAUCUCACAGCUUAACUGUGAAACUGCAUUGGAUACUAUUCGGCUUGAGAGUUGGGAGGGGGGACUGGAAUUCUUGGUGUAGCAGUGAAAAUGCGUAGAUAUCAAGAGGAACACCAGUGGCGAAGGCGAGUCCCUGGACAACUUCUGACGCUGAGGCACGAAAGCUAGGGGAGCAAACAGG